rnacentral:rRNA from 1 species
CUACGGGCUGCACCAGUGGGGAAUAUUGGACAAUGGGGGCAACCCUGAUCCAGCCAUGCCGCGUGUGUGAAGAAGGCCUUUUGGUUGUAAAGCACUUUAAGCAGGGAGGAGAGGCUAAUGGUUAAUACCCAUUAGAUUAGACGUUACCUGCAGAAUAAGCACCGGCUAACUCUGUGCCAGCAGCCGCGGUAAUACAGAGGGUGCGAGCGUUAAUCGGAAUUACUGGGCGUAAAGCGAGUGUAGGUGGCUCAUUAAGUCACAUGUGAAAUCCCCGGGCUUAACCUGGGAACUGCAUGUGAUACUGGUGGUGCUAGAAUAUGUGAGAGGGAAGUAGAAUUCCAGGUGUAGCGGUGAAAUGCGUAGAGAUCUGGAGGAAUACCGAUGGCGAAGGCAGCUUCCUGGCAUAAUAUUGACACUGAGAUUCGAAAGCGUGGGUAGCAAACAGGAUUAGAUACCCCUGUAGUC